UGCGCAGGCGGUUUUGCAAGACCGAUGUGAAAUCCCCGGGCUUAACCUGGGAACUGCAUUGGUGACUGCAAGGCUAGAGUGUGUCAGAGGGAGGUGGAAUUCCGCAUGUAGCAGUGAAAUGCGUAGAUAUGUGGAGGAACACCGAUGGCGAAGGCAGCCUCCUGGGAUAACACUGACGCUCAUGCACGAAAGCGUGGGGAGCAAACA
rnacentral:rRNA from 1 species